GAGGUGUGGAAUUAGGGCAUAAACCACUGUGGCUGGUGCCAGGAGAGGUAAGCUGAAACCGUGAGAACAGGACAGAGAUCAGAGGAAGCAGAAAUGAAUCAGAUACCACAGGAAUGGAAUUGCUGGGUCAUAUGGACACUCCGUGUUUAACUUUAUGGAGAGCCACCAAGAUGUUUUCCACAGAAGCUGCACCAUUUUAUAUUCCCCACCAGCAAUGCACAAGGGUUCCAGUUUCUCCUCAGAGUCAUCAGCACUUGGGUAAGAAAAGUUCAGAGGGGGGACACCGGCCAAGAUUUCCAGUGGACGCCUGCAACUGAGGAUAGUACUGAGCCCUAUACAUGCUACUUUUUCCCACAUGUGCACAACACCUAUGAUAAAGUUUAAUUUAUACGUUAGGCACAGUAAGAGAUUAACAACAGUAACUAAUUAUAAAAUAGAAAAAUUACAACAAUGUACUAUAAUAAAAAUGAUGAGAAUGUGGUUUCUUUCUCUGUCUUUCUCAAAAUAUCUGACUGUAUUAUACUCACCCUUCCCCUUGUGAGGAUGUGAGAUAAAAUGCCUACAUGAUGAGAGGCAGUGAGGUGAAUGACGUAGACAUUGUGAGCAGGAUAGGCUGCCACUGACCUUCUAACAGUAGGUCAGAAGGAGGAUCACCUCAGGUUAACUGAAACCUUGGAAAGUGAAUUCAUAGAUAAAGGGGGUUACUUACUUCAGUCUUCCGAGCUGGGAGCAGCUGGGACUACAGACUGACCUCCUCUAACCCUGGAGCUUCCCACCCAUAAAAAAAAAAGCAAACAAAACUAACUAACAACUUUUCCUAAAACCAAACUUCCUUAUUGUCUUUUUCAGGUUUGAAUGAGAUGUCUGCCCCUUUGUUUAAGAAUAGAAAAACUAGAGGCCGCCUUUUUUGCCCAAGGCGUUUGGGGUGUGUUUAAGAAAGGAGGAAAGUAGAAUCAGUUCUGUUUGUUCUUGGGGUUUCGAAAUGAUGGGUGGUUCUUAUGUUUAUGCUCCAAUGGCAUUUAUGUGAGUUUCUACAACCCUUAAAACUUUUGGAGGAGACACCUGUUUCCGCUUCACCUCUGCCUUUCCCCAGUCGCAGUUUCUUAGGUUCAAUUAGUAAACAGUUGUGGAAAAUAUAAAUUUGAGGCUAGACAAUCUCUGGUGAUCAGAUAGGGGAUAAAUUCAAAGCCUGAAAAACAGCACUGUCCAUCCUACUCCUUUCUCCCCAGGUCCAAGUGGGGUGAGGGGGUAGGCUUAGCUGGAACCAUUGGGGCGGUUACACUGGAUUCUCCACUUCUGGUUCAGUUUAUUCACUAGCUGGGCCGGGCCACUUGGCCUCUUUACACUUCAGUUGUUUACCUAUGGAAUGGGAAUGCAUAAUUCCCACCUGGAUUUGUUAGGAUCUGCUUAGUGUACAUGAGAGAAAGCCACUCUCACCACUGUGGCUUUCAAGAGAUGGGAGUCUGUGACUAGAAUAGUACAUCCUGCUGUCAAGGCUCCUGGCCCCUUCUGCCUUAUUGCUCUGUGGUGCCCAAGCUCAUCAUGUGGUCCAAGAGAGCUGCCAUUCUUUUCCAGCGACAGGCAGUGUGCCAGCUGGGGAAAGGGAAAAGGGAAAACACCCCUUCCCUUUAAAGGCUGUUCUCCUAAAAUCUCAUUGGCCAGAACUUCACUGUUGGAUCAGACUGCCUGCCAGGGAAGCUUGGAAAUGUGUUCUCUAUUCCAUGUGGCCAUGGGCAGUUAAAUCCUGGAAGAAGAUUUACUCAGGGAGAAGGCCCACUGGAGAUGUUUGUCACAGCACCUGUCGGAGCUGCUGUGAAGAAAAAGGGGUGCCACCGGGGAAGACUGAACUGGGUUGUUUUUUCUUUUUGGCACAUAAAUCAGCCUGUUAAUUUGCCAACUAAAAAUUCCAGGAGACCACUGUCUGGUUUAAAAGCCAUGGUGAGUAAAUCGAAAUCCAGGUUCCAAGUCGAAUUGGACUCCUGGUCAUUGUAAGAACAGGAGGAUUCCUGUUGUGUGACCAAACCGCCCCACUUGAUUAGCAAGGAAACUAUUAAAGUGGCCAGGUGUUGCUUAGCAAUGAAACCAUUGAAGUGGCCCGGUGUUGCCUUUUGCCUCCUACUCCAGAUGCUGGGCUGUGGGUGGUGGCCUGCCAGGACUCCAGGACACUGGUUAUGCACCGAAUGGGGAAAAUGUAGCUAUAGUUAGGAUGCACCAGCCUUAAACAAGCAACCAUCCAACUCAAACUGGCUUAAAUUUAUUUUUGUUUGUUUAUUAGAUUCCACAUCUAGGUCAGAUCAUGCAAUAUUUGUCUUUCUGUGUGUGACUCAUUUCACUUAGCAUAUUGUCCUCCAGGUUCAUCUGUGUUGUCACAAGUGGAAUUUGACUUUUUUCCCCAAAACUGGCUGAAGUUUAAAGAGGGAAUUUGUUGGCUUUUGACAGUACAAAGUCCAGAGGCAGGUAGCCGUCACACGUGGCGGGACCUAAGGAUUCACCAACCUCAAGAUUAGGUCUGCUACUGUGUCCCCCUGUCUCUGCCCGUCUCUUUCCCCCUCUCUCUCCCUCCACCCCUGUGUGGACUUUGUUCUUAAGCAGGUUCUUCCCACAUGCCUGUUCUUGCCACUGUCACUUUGGCAAACUCAAAACAGCAUACUUGUUUCCUUGUGGGCAAAAAUGGAUGCCCUCCACAGUAUGGGAUUUGGUGUCUUUAAUCCCUCUUAACGGGUAGAAUAGUGACCACUGGGAACUCCCUCAGCAGUUCUUUAGGCUCAUCAAUUUAAGGAUAGUGUGGCCUGGGGCCUCACAGGAUGUCAGAGACCUGGGUGAUCUCAUCCCCAGCACACCACUGGCUUUCUGGCUCACCACACCCCUUUGAAAAGAUUAACCAGGUAAUUUAGAUAAUAUCCCCUUUCACUUGAGACUAACCACUGAUCCAGUCCCUAAACUCUAUAGGUGGGGAAGCUGAAGCCUAGAGAGGAGAAAUCCUGUGUGUUAAUUUGAAUUCCCCCAACAACAGGGAUAAAGGUGCAGGGGGUUUGUUUGUGGUCCUUGGAAGCAGGAGUGAGGGUGUGGGGAGAGCAAGACAUGCAGAGAAGCCAGUAUAGGGCAUGGUAUUGGACUUGUCACCCUCGCAAUAAGGGUUUUACCCACCGGGAUCUCUGAAAAGGUACAGAUACCUCCCAGAACCGUCCAGCAGCAGAAGGGGAGACUUGAAGUCCCCGAGCAGACAGAAGCCCAAAGAACUGUCCCAGUAGCUGAAACCAGAGAUGCACUGUGGAGGUGUGACAUGGGAUACCAAAGGUGUUUGCAACAGUGGCCCAGCCAGGCAGCAGCCCACCUGUGAUGAGAACAGACACCCAGUCCCAGCUGGGAGCUCGCUUGCUCCCCCGAAGCUGUGGCAGUGCCCCCACCAUGCGGCCCAUCCUCUCCUCCCUGGCUCCCUGCUCUUGUCGGAUCAGAGCAGCCUUCUGUCUUCGUGGCCACAGGCUCGCCUUUCUGUGAGAUGGCAGGGUCUCCUCUCCCAUUUACAGGGAAACCCAGUCUUGUGCCCUCCUGCUUCUAUGCUCCCCUCGCCUUCCCACCCCUUUGUGCUCCAACAGCUGGCUUUGUGCCUAAGACUAUCCCAGCCUUUUUUCCCCAGGUCCCACCCCCCACAACAAACACAAACCCCCUGAUGGGGUACCAGAAUUCGAAUUAGAGAUGAACUUUCUGCCUUGCAGUCUUUUGUGCUCCCUCCUGCCCUGCAUAUCUUGUCCUUCCCAGAAUUUCUCCCCCAGCUGGCAUAAGCAGCCUAUCAACAAAAGAUAGGCAUGGUCUUUGUGUUUUAGCGCAACAGCUGUAGAAUUUAAUCAGGAUCCACACCACCCAUUGGUGGCCUGGAGGUGGCCCAGAAGGUCUGGACCCUGAGCGUGCCCUGUCUGAUGGGAACAGGGUCCAAGUCCAGUCCCUCUCCCAGGGAGCCCAGGUGUGCCCUGUCUGGUGGGAACAGGGUCUGGGUCCUGUCCCUCUACCACCUAGGCUUGGGUGGGAACCCAGCCGCUAUCACAUGAGCAAACGCAGGCCUAAGCCAGCCAUAUGAUAGUUUUACUUCCAGGGGCCUUUUCUGUUUCUCUUUUUGUCUUAAUAAUUAAAAGACUAUCUUUUAGCAAGUUUUAGGGUUACAGAAUAACUGAGCUGUUUUAUCAGGUGGUGGUUCCUGGGAGGGGUGAGGUCGGAGAGUUUCUGGAGUGGUCCCUACCACACUGUAAGCAGCCCACUGCCCAGCUGGGUGUGCCAGACCUUGGUGCCAGGGAGGCUCAGCCUGGUGCCGUCGAGCCUAUAGCCCCUCUC